GAUCAUGGCUGAGGAUGAACGCUGGCGGCGUGCAUAACACAUUCAAGUCGAACGGACGACUCGGAGCUUGCUCCGGGAAGUUAGUGGCGGACGGGUGAGUAACGCGUGAGCAACCUGCCUGUGUGAGCGGAAUAACGUCCGGAAACAGACGCUAAUACCGCAUGACUCACGGACUUCGCAUGGAGACCGUGGCAAAGAUUUAUCGCACACAGAUGGGCUCGCGUCCGAUUAGG
rnacentral:rRNA from 1 species